UCUUAUCCAAUUUGUGGAAUUAAAGUGGGUUGGGACUGAGGGAGCAACUUUUUAACUCAAAAUAUCAUACAAAAUUUGUUAUUUGACAAUUCCCACAACUGCGUAUUUGCAGAGUGUAGUAAGGGCCACCCGCCACUGUUCUUCAACCAAAUUCCCAUUCUCCUUCUGAUCAUCGCUCCUCCGUCAUGGCCUCCGCCGUGACAGACCACCCGCCUCCCCCCUACGUAGAAACAGUAGAAGAAAUUACCAGAAUCUACAAAUCGCUGCCGUCGAGACCCUCCGUUGAAGAGGUUGAGGCGGCCGUUUCCGUGCUGCAGACUGUAGAAACCGAAGAGAAGGUUCAGCUAGAGGAGAUCUCGAAGCGGCGUCCACCGGAAGACGUGCCUUCGGAACUGUUUUCCGUGCUGCAAGAAGUGAGGAAAGCCAUGGUCUGUUUCCAAUGCAACGAGCAGCGGAAAGAGGCGGCCCAGCUGGUUGAGCUCGACAGGGCUUUACAGGUGUUUGAUGGGCUUAUUCAGAAGACUUCCGCGCUGGUUUCUGGGGAUGCGUUUUCGGAGAAAGUGCCUGAUUUGGGGGGUGGUGAUGGUGAAGUUGAGAGAAAGCUUGUGAUCAGUGAGGAGAAGGGUGUGGAGUGUGCUGAUCAUGAAGAUGUUAAGAGUGGUGACGAGAUGAAGGGUUUUCUUCCCAGUAGUUCUUCUUCAAAGGCUAUUGUUUUAUCUUCAGGGGAAGGAGAAAUAGAACAAUUGAAUCUGAUGAAAGUGGCAGCAGUAAUUGAAAAUUGUGCUAAAACUGGGGCAAGUGUUUUGGAUCUUCAAGGCAAGCUCAUGGACAAGAUUGAGUGGCUUCCGUAUUCUCUCGGAAAGCUAUCAACCCUUACUGAAUUGUAUUUAUCUGAAAACAGGAUCAUGGCUCUUCCAACUUCCAUAGGCAGCCUUAAGACCUUAAUGAAGCUUGAUCUCCGUGCCAACCAACUCAUAAACCUCCCUAGUUCUUUUGGUGACCUGCAAAACUUAGCCGACCUUGACCUUUCAGCAAACCUGUUGAAAUCGCUGCCAGAGUCUUUUGGGAACUUAAAAAAUUUGAUUAGUCUUGAUUUAAGUUCAAACCGGUACUCAAACUUACCUAAUAAAGUUGGGGAUCUAAUUUCUUUAGAAAGACUGAACGUUCAAACAAAUGAUCUUGAAGAACUUCCUCACACAAUUGGAUUAUGCUCGUCGCUUGUUGAACUGAGGUUGGAUUUCAAUCAGCUCAAAGCUCUUCCAGAAUCAGUAGGGAAGCUUGAACGCUUGGAGAUUCUUACUUUGCACUAUAACAGAGUAAAAAGAUUGCCGUCAACAAUUGGUAAUCUCUCUCAUUUGAAGGAGCUUGAUGUUAGCUUCAAUGAACUCGAGAUAAUACCUGAAGCACUUUGUUCUGCGGUGAGCCUUGCAAAACUUAAUGUUGGAAAAAAUUUUGCUGACCUGAGAAUGCUGCCGGAAUCACUUGGAAAUCUAGAGAUGCUUGAAGAACUCGACAUCAGUGACAAUCAAAUAAAAGUGCUGCCUGAUACCUUUAGAUUCCUGUCUAGGUUAAGAAACUUACGUGUUGAUCAAACUCCUUUGGAAGUGCCACCAAGGGAAGUUACGAAACUGGGUGCACAGGUCGUUGUACAGUAUAUGGCUGAUUUUGUUGCUGAGAGGGAUAUGAAGUCCCGACAGAUAAAGAAGAAAAGAGGCUUCUUUUCAUAUAUAUGCCCACUGCUCUGUUUUGGCAUUGAGAAGAGAUAGUUUUCCACGAGCAAGAAUGUGAAGGCGUUAAAGAUUCCGUCUCCCUAUAUGUGUAUAUGUGUGAAUCUCUAGGGAGACAGAAUUGAUCCAUUCGCGGAGUGGAAUAGCUCUCCAUAUUCUCCUUUGACUUCACCAGCAAGACUACUUUCCUUUUGAUAAGAUCACAUCUCCAUGCACAGAAAAUCUAGUUGAGCAAUCAAGAAGGGGUUUCAGGGGAUCGAAUUGAACAUCGGAGACGUAUACGCAGAAUGCCACAAAUCUCAUUCGCAUCUAGGUGGUAAGACUGACGGUUGCCAGGAGUACUUGGAGAGGUGAACGUCGCUGCCCGACUGCAAUGUCUGCGGCUGCCACCGCAAUUUCCACCCGAAGGUGGUACCGCCGGUCAAGUACAAGACGAAGGCUGUCUACACAAAGUGUCAAAAGAUCCAUGAUUGUAAGAUCCAAAAUUCGGUCCAUCGGAAUGAGGUUGCCAUAGAAGUAACUUCAACUGAUUAAGGUUUCUGUAUGAAGAAGAUUGCACCUGUCCUUCCGCAUGGCUUCUUGUGUUUUGGCGCCUUUUGUUUUUCCUUGUUGUUUUAGUGGUGUUGCUUAUAUCUUUUGGGAUUGCAGUAAUAUUUGGUUUUG